CUCCUGAGGAGAAAGAAAGAGAGGGAGGGAGAGAAAAAGAGAGAGAGAGAAACAAAAAACCAAAGAGAGAGAAAAAAUGAAUUCAUCUAAAUCAUCUGAAACACAAUGCACAGAGAGAGGAUGCUUCUCUUCCCAAAUGUUCUUAUGGACUGUUGCUGGGAUCCCCAUCCUAUUUCUCAGUGCCUGUUUCAUCACCAGAUGUGUUGUGACAUUUCGCAUCUUUCAAACCUGUGAUGAGAAAAAGUUUCAGCUACCUGAGAAUUUCACAGAGCUCUCCUGCUACAAUUAUGGAUCAGGAAUUCCUUUCCUACAAGAAACCUAAAAUGAGAGAGUUUUUUAUUGGACUGUCAGACCAGGUUGUCGAGGGUCAGUGGCAAUGGGUGGACGGCACACCUUUGACAAAGUCUCUGAGGUAAUUACCCUCCUAUUGAGAGGAGUUCUUGAAACCUCCUUCUGUUACCUGCAAUAGAUCAGGUCCAUUAUUGGUGGUGGUAUUAAAUGCAGGAAAGAGAAGAGCUAAGGUAGAAAAGAUGAAGGAGAAGUACAAGCACCCACUUCUCUCCUUUCCUGGAAUUGUCUCAAGAAUAAAGGGGAAAUAAUAAAUGAAAAUGAACUGAAGAAUCAUUCACUGAGAAUGCAAAAGAGACGAGAGGUGGAAUUAAGAGUCUUAUUCCCCAAAACUGAAGGAAAUGAGGAAAAAAAUAGUAAGUUGAGAAAGACAGCAGGUUCUUAUGCAGUGAAAAAUGAGAAUCUCUUGAUAAUGUCUCUUUUCUCCUUAAUAAUAGCCUCACGUCAUUAGAACAUAGCAUUUUUUAUUGUGGAUAUGCUUUUUUUGUUAGAUUGGUUAAUUGAUAUAUAAAAUAUUUUGCUAUAUAUGUUGAUUCUCAUGAUUUGUUAGGGAGUGAGUUUUUUCUUUUUUCUUUUCUUCAACUUUUAUUUUAAGUUCCAGGGUACAUGUGCAGGAUGUGCAGGUUACAUAGGUAAACGUGUGCCGUGGUGGUUUGGUUUGCUGCAGAAAUCAUAACAUGACCCGGGUAUUAAGUCCAGCAUCCAUUAGGUAUUCUUCCUGAUAGAGCAUAGCAUUUUUAAUUUUUUUUCUCAUUUAUUAUUUCAUUUUACCUAAAUUACACUUUCUUGGAAUGUAUCAGUAUUAUUAAUCUUUAUUUAGCAUUUGAGGAAACUAAAACUCAGCAGAGUUAAGUGACUUAGCUAAUGAGCAGUUCUAAGAGUACAACAGAGAUACUCUGACAUGUUAGAAAUGCUGCUUCACUACCACACUGUAACAUCACUGCAGGAUGCACCUAAGUUAAUACACACUCUGUGCAGAAUAAAGAGAGCUAAGCCGAUAUGAGGUAUGAGUGUGAAGAAAACAAAUCUAUCAGAAUAUCAAUCUUCCCCAUAACUUCUCAUUCUAUAGCUAAGGAACAGGACAGAAUAGAAAAGGAACAAAGGAACAGGACAGAAUAGAAAGUCAGAAAGAUCCGGUUCAGCUUCAGUACUCACAAACUGUGACUUCGACAACUAGUUUAGCUUCCUGAGGUUCCUUUUCUUCUUCAAUAAAAUGGACAUUAUAAUACCUACCUCGCAAAAUUGUUGUGAGGUUAAAUAACACAAAUGUAAUUUGCCUAGUAUAUUAGGUUACUUUACCUCUUUUUGCUGGGAUUUUAAGUCUCCUAUGUCAUUCUUUUUCAGCUUCUGGGAUGUAGGGGAGCCCAACAACAUAGCUACCCUGGAGGACUGUGCCACCAUGAGAGACUCUUCAAACCCAAGGCAAAAUUGGAAUGAUGUAACCUGUUUCCUCAAUUAUUUUCGGAUUUGUGAAAUGGUAGGAAUAAAUCCUUUGAACAAAGGAAAAUCUCUUUAAGAACAGAAGGCACAACUCAAAUGUGUAAAGAAGGAAGAGCAAGAACAUGGCCACACCCACCGCCCCACACGAGAAAUUUGUGCGCUGAACUUCAAAGGACUUCAUAAGUAUUUGUUACUCUGAUAUAAA
rnacentral:lncRNA from 10 species